rnacentral:rRNA from 1 species
GCUCAACCGGGGAGGGUCAUUGGAAACUGGGAAACUUGAGUGCAGAAGAGGAGAGUGGAAUUCCACGUGUAGCGGUGAAAUGCGUAGAGAUGUGGAGGAACACCAGUGGCGAAGGCGACUCUCUGGUCUGUAACUGACGCUGAGGAGCGAAAGCGUGGGGAGCGAACAGGAUUAGAUACCCUGGUUGUCCACGCCGUAAACGAUGAGUGCUAAGUGUUAGGGGGUUUCCGCCCCUUAGUGCUGCAGCUAACGCAUUAAGCACUCCGCCUGGGGAGUACGGUCGCAAGACUGAAACUCAAAGGAAUUGACGGGGGCCCGCACAAGCGGUGGAGCAUGUGGUUUAAUUCGAAGCAACGCGAAGAACCUUACCAGGUCUUGACAUCCUCUGACAACCCUAGAGAUAGGGCUUUCCCUUCGGGGACAGAGUGACAGGUGGUGCAUGGUUGUCGUCAGCUCGUGUCGUGAGAUGUUGGGUUAAGUCCCGCAACGAGCGCAACCCUUGAUCUUAGUUGCCAGCAUUCAGUUGGGCACUCUAAGGUGACUGCCGGUGACAAACCGGAGGAAGGUGGGGAUGACGUCAAAUCAUCAUGCCCCUUAUGACCUGGGCUACACACGUGCUACAAUGGACAGAACAAAG